rnacentral:rRNA from 1 species
UACGUAGGGGGCAAGCGUUGUCCGGAAUCAUUGGGCGUAAAGAGCUCGUAGGCGGUUUGGCAAGUCGGGUGUGAAAACUUCAGGCUCAACCUGGAGAUGCCACCCGAGACUGCUAUGACUUGAGUCUGGUAGGGGAGCACGGAAUUCCUGGUGUAGCGGUGAAAUGCGCAGAUAUCAGGAGGAACACCGGUGGCGAAGGCGGUGCUCUGGGCCAGUACUGACGCUGAGGAGCGAAAGCGUGGGGAGCAAACAGG